GCACACCCUCUGACGGGUCUUCCACGCGCUGGUUCCGAGGCCGCCCUCCAGGUUGUUGUGAUCUCAAUUCAAGAGGAAGGUGUGAUAUGGCGUCUGUCUGGGUUGGAUACCGAGGGACAAUGAGAGAUCAUCCAGGCUUUAGCCCAUCUGUGGAUGCUGAGGCGAUUCGUAAGGCAGUCAAACAAAUCGGGCAUAUGGAGGUUCCUAGGCUAGGGGUCUGAUCGGAACUACAGCUGCCGGCCUACACCACAGACAGCAAUGCCAGAUCCAAGUCGUGUCUGCAACCCAUACCACAGCCCAUGGCAACGCCAGAUCCAUAACCCACUGAGCAAGGCCAGGAAUCCAAUCCACAUCCUCAUGGUACCGAGUCAGAUUCGUUUCCACUGCACCACCGCGGGAACUCCCCAACAUUACAUUUCUUUAUGAUUUUUUGCAUUAGUUAUGCAGGCCCACUCUGAGAAGGAGGUUUUUGUGGUGAGCACCACUCCCAACACCAGAACCAGGCGUCAUGAUGGCAUUUGCCUUAGGGAUGUGUCAGAUCUAGCCUCUGAAACAUGAGGCAGCUUGGUUUAGUUCUGGUCUUGAGCAUGUGCAGAAAUAACAGGAGAAACCACUUGGUAUGCCACCGACAUGGAACUGUGGCUGGUUAGUUAUGUCUGGAGUCCAGGGCUGAGGGUGUAGAGAUGCAGAGAAGGGGUGGGAAAUUAGAACUGAGACAUGAGCCAGGAGGUAGGUCCUAAUGAACUAGUAUACAAGCUCAGGGGCUUAAACUUCAUCCUGAAGGUUACAGAGAAUCAUUAGAAUUGCAGCCCUGGGAUUGACAUGAUCAGAUGCAUUAAAAAUAAUUAGGAACAGUUUUUUACUUAGGCAGUAAUAUACAGUAUGAAUUAUAAGGGGGUUAAAGUAAGAGGUUGUUGAAGUUUCUAAGUGAAAUAGGAGCAUCCCGUGGCAGAGAAGAGGACAAAUUCAAGAGGGACAGAUGAUCCCUACAAAGUAGAGAGUAAGGAAAAGAAAGGCGUAGAGGAUGACUCCCAGGAUCUCUGGUUGAUGACUGCAUCCCCAGUGGUGUCACUGGUGAGGGAGCUUAGAAUGAAAGACAAGUUAGAGAGGAAAUAGAAUGAAUCGAUCUGGAGCAGGCUGAGUUUGAGAUGCUCGUGGUUGGAGAUGUGAGUCCUGCCUCUAACCCGGAUGCCAUUACAGGUCUGUGUUGAUCACAGGGCACAGUGAGGGUCUACUCUAACUCUGUUAACUAUGCAGAAGAAUUCAAGACCAGAGACCCAGUGGGGCAGCAUCUUGCACUGGGAGGCCCAGCAGCUAAUCAAGCACACAGCUUCCUUUGCCCCCUCCUUCGUGUAGAGUGUCCACACGGAUGUGUGAAGCUCAGGGGUGUGUGGGUCACCUCAACACAGGGAAGGUGAGCCUUGUGUUCUGGUUGCUCUUUAUUGCAUUCUAGCCAUGCAGGACCAAGGCAUACAAGCCAGUUCACAGCCCCAACCCAGUGGUAGGCCUCUACCAUAUAGGAGCCAACGCAACUUCCCACAUUAUCUUAAUACUGUAAUUACCAAGGAAACAGUGACCCAGAGAUGGUUUUCAGGGAGGCCAGCAUUAGUCCUUUGCUCAUACCCACCACAAGUGGUUAAGCAAUAACAAUUACUAAAAUGCCUAAAAGGCACGUAAACCAAUGACAGAAAUGCAUGUUUUGGAGUCAGAGACUUGGGUUCACAUUCUUGCUGCACCACAAAAGCUGCGUGACUUUGGCGAAUGAAAUGUUUUUUUAAAAUAUUAGUGUCUUUAUCUUUAGAACAGCUUAAUCAUGCCUACUGCCCAGCGCCCCUGUGCAUACCAACCAUGACCAUGGGUAAAACGUGCCGAGUGUGUGGUAGAUUCUCAAUAAACGUCAGCUCCUUUUUUUCUAGAGAAAAAAAUGAUUUUGAUAUCAAAGAUGGAGAUAAGAAAGAGACAAAAGGAGAUAAGACAGUAACUGAACCUCCUCAGGAUGAAAACUACCUCAAACACCAUUAUGUUCUUCGUGCUCUUUGCAGUGUCUGAUAUACAGAUGGGAAUAUGGGGGCAAUGAUUGUUUUCUUCCCUCCAGACUGUCCAAAUAAAGUUAAUUUUCUUUUUCCCAAAGCCAAGCAAUCAAAGAAAUAAAGGUGCCAACCUGGUAAGACCUGGAAAUUAGAAAUUAAAAUGCCUUCCUCUCUGCAUUUGUUUCAGACUAUUAAUCAUUUUUUUUCUGUUGUCCAUGACAGAAAUGAAGCCUAUGUGGGUUGAUGGUAAAUACAGUUAUUUCUGUUUCACUUAGGAACUGAUGAGAAGACGCACAUCAGCAUUCUGACUGAGAGGUCGAAUGCACAGCGGCAGCUGACUGUUAAGGAAUAUCAAGUAGCAUAUGGAAAGGUACGAGUCCAUUAACAUGACAGGCAGUAAAGAGCUAAUCCCUCGUGGAUCAAGGCUGCUCCCACGUGAUUAUGCCCAUGGAUCUUUUAUUUUAGGCCAAGUGUAACAGAAACUUCCCUGUGUAUCCAGUCAGUAGCCUAGAGUAAGAGUCUUGGUUUUGCCCUUCAUCAGCCGAAUGGCCUUAGGCAUGUUAGUUGAUCUUUCUAGGACUCAGUAUCUUCACCUGUUGAAGAGGAGGCGUUGCCUUGGGUCAGUAGCUCUGAACUGGGAAUGAUUUGGUUUCCCAGGGAAUAUGUGGCAAUGUCUCCAGACAUUUUGAUGAUCACAGCUGGUGGGAGAGAGAAGGAUGUUCUGGCAUCUGGUGGGCAGAGGUCAGGGAUACUGCUGAACAUCAUACCGUACACAUGCCAAUCCCCCAUACCAAAGAACUCUCUGAUCAGUUAUUUGAUAAAUCCUGUCUUACAUGAUCUUUAAUUUCUCUUCCAACUUUAAUAAGUUUAUGGAACUACAGAUUUAUUGCUUAAUUCAUUCAGCAAAUGAAAACUUAACUGUGUACCAGAAACUAUAUAUACAAGAACUAUUCAAGAACUUUUUGUAUGUCUUUCCCACACAGUUUAUUUGUUCAGUAAUAAGCUCCUGUGUGUCAGGAGUUGGGUAUUAGUCUAUGUUAGGAAAUAUCCCAGAUAUUGGAGAGUCACUGGAAUAAAAAGCAGAUCCUCCUUUCUUCCAUAAGCCAAACAUUCUAUUAGAAAAAUAAUAAAUAGGCAAAUAAAAUAAAUUCAGAUAUUGGUAGGUGCUAUGGAAGAAUUAAAAUGGAUGAUAUUAGAGAGAAUGACUAGUGAAUGGCUCCUUUGGAUACAUGGUGAGGGAAUGUCAGUGAGAGCUUGUUACUUUACUCUCAGCAAAGACUAAACCAUACUGAGGAUUCGGCUCUGCUUCAUCUGGGGUAGGGCAUUUCAGACAGAAGGUCUGGCAAAGGCAAAAGCCCUAAGGCCAAACCAAGCUGGAAAUACUGAAGAAACAGAAGUUCCAAUAUGGCAGCUGUGUAGACAGUAAAGGGAGGCAGAGGAAACUGAUGAGGUUUGAAGAGAGGCUUAGAAUAUUCUGGGCCUUGGGGGUCUUGGUACAGAGGUUAGAUUUUUAUUCUAAGAACAAUAGGGACCCAUCAGGUUUAUAAGAAGGGGAAUCCUAUAAUCUAUAUUUUUAAAUGAUUAUUUUAGCUGCUGUGGCUAAUGAGCUAUGUAGGGAAGGGAAAGAGUAGAAACACAAACCAGUCAGGCUAUUGGGUAAAACUGAGGGUGCGUAGUAACCAUGCAAAGGCGGCUGAGGCAUCACCUGCGGGUAUUCUCCAAGUCCUCAGGCUCCAUGAAGACACCCUUGUCUGUGUUCUUUUUACCAGAUACUUCACAUGGCAUCACUCUGCAGUUUUAUCUCUAUUUCUGUUUUUCCCUAGGGUGUAAUUUCCUAGGGAUAAGAAUUGGGUCUAACUCACCAUUAAGCGCUCAGCACAGAGCAGGCACGCAGUAAACAUUUGUCGAAACAAAGCCAAGCUUCCGGGCAAGGCAACACACUCAUGCACAGGGAAGGUACAAGAUCUACGGGGCUUUCAGGAUUUCCAAAAUAGGGAGGAAGGAUGCAGGUGAA
rnacentral:lncRNA from 1 species